CCCAACCUUCUCUGUUUCGAAAGUCACCAUUUGAUUGCGGCCGCAAGCAAGAGGAAGCAAUUGAAAGGGGGGGAAGAAGGAAGGGAAACUUCAUUUUCUCUCACUCAGCCAAACUCGGCCAUCUAGGACUUCUCCUCCUCCUCCGUCCCAUCGUCCUUCCUGCACCCAAGUGGGACAUUUGUCUCCAGGAACCUGGUCGGGUUCUGGUCUUUCUUUCCAGGAGAGUCAAGAUGGCGAGCCCCCUGUGGUUUGCAGCGGCUGCCCUGAUCCUGACGUUGGAGGUCGUGGUUGGCCAGCAAAACGUUUGCAAAGCGUCCGACGGCAGAGACGGCCAUCCGGGAGCCCCGGGCCGGAAUGGAAAACUGGGCCAAAAAGGAGACCUGGGUGCCCCAGGCUUGGGGACACG